rnacentral:rRNA from 1 species
CAGUAGCCGCGGUAAUACGGAGGGUGCAAGCGUUAAUCGGAAUUACUGGGCGUAAAGCGCACGCAGGCGGUCUGACAAGUCAGAUGUGAAAUCCCCGGGCUUAACCUGGGAACUGCAUUUGAAACUGUCAGGCUGGAGUCUUGUAGAGGGGGGUGGAAUUCCAGGUGUAGCGGUGAAAUGCGUAGAGAUCUGGAGGAAUACCGGUGGCGAAGGCGGCCCCCUGGACAAAGACUGACGCUUAGGUGCGAAAGCGUGGGGAGCAAACAGGAUUAGAUACCCCUGUAGUCCCUGUCUCUUAUAC